UUUCGCAAUGCCCGAAAGGGUGACGAAGCGACGCCGCGUGGGUGAGGAAGGCCUUCGGGUUGUAAAACCCUGUCAGGAGUUAAGAAAUGUAAGUGCGAUAAUACCGUACUUAUUUGACAAAGGCUCCAAAGGAAGCCACGGCUAACUCUGUGCCAGCGGCCGCGGUAAUACAGAGGUGGCGAGCGUUGUUCGGAAUUAUUGGGCGUAAAGAGCACGUAGGUGGGUUUGUGAGUCAGAUGUGAAAGCCUUCUGUUCAACGGAAGAACUGCAUCUGAAACUGCGAAUCUUGAGUGUAGGAGGGGAGAGUGGAACUUCUGGUGGAGCGGUGAAAUGCGUAGAUACCAGAAGGAACGUCGGCGGCGAAAGCGACUCUCUGGCCUAUUACUGACACUGAGUGUGCGAAAGUUAGGGGAGCAAACGGGAUUAGAUACCCCGGUAGUCCUAACUGUAAACGAUGGGCACUAAGUAGAGGGGUUUUA
rnacentral:rRNA from 1 species